UUAUACUAUAAAAUCGGAAAAAAGAUUGUUUUAAAUGGAAAAAUUUUUGUUGGAAGAAUUUUAAAGAUAUUUAGGUAAAAUUUUAAUUUUUUCUAUCUUCCAAAAUUUUAAUUUUGAAAAAUUUUUGAGAUGACUGGGAUUAGAUACCCCAUUAAGAAAGUGAAAUAAAAUUAAGUAGUAUUUGAUGUCAUGAAACUUAAAGGAUUUGGCGGUGUUUUAAACUUAUCAGAGGAACUUGUUUUUUAAUCGAUAAUACACGUUAAAUCUUACUUAAAUUAAAGUUUAUAUAUCGUCGUAAUAAUAAUAUUUGGAAAUUAUUAUUAAUGUAAAUUUUAUUUAAGAUGUCAGAUCAAGGUUUAGCUUAUAUUUAAGUUAAAAUGGGUUACAAUACAGCUAUGUAUUACGAAUAAGCUAGUGAAAAGAAAUUGAAGGAGGAUUUGAAAGUAAUUCUAAAUAAA
rnacentral:rRNA from 1 species